UACGUAGGGUGCAAGCGUUGUCCGGAAUUAUUGGGCGUAAAGAGCUCGUAGGCGGUUUGUCGCGUCUGCUGUGAAAAUCCAGGGCUUAACCCUGGACCUGCAGUGGGUACGGGCAGACUAGAGUGCGGUAGGGGAGAUCGGAAUUCCUGGUGUAGCGGUGAAAUGCGCAGAUAUCAGGAGGAACACCGGUGGCGAAGGCGGAUCUCUGGGCCGUAACUGGACGCUGAGGAGCGAAAGCAUGGGGAGCGAACAGG
rnacentral:rRNA from 1 species